GACGAACGCUGGCGGCGUGCUUAACACAUGCCAGUCGAACGGAAAUUCCCUUCUUUUGUGGGGUUCUCGAGUGGCACACGUGUGUGUCACAUGUGAGUCUUCUCCCCUUGCCUUUGGCAUCACUUCAGAACGCUUGGUCUUAUCUCAUAUAAUAGUUCCUGCUCCAUGUUUAGUUAUGGAAGGUUUAGGCGGUUGGGGAUGGCUUUGCGUCUUAUCAGCUAGUUGGUGGGGUAGUGGCUUACCAAGGCUUUGACGGGUAGCCGGCCUGAGAGGGUGAACGGGCAAAUUGGGACUGAGAUCAGGGCCAGAACUCUAAGGGAGGCAGGAGUUGGGAAUAAUGCAACAUGGGAGGAAGACUGAUGCAGAAACGUUGCGUGUGGGAGAACGGCUUUCGGGGUGUAAAAAGCGUUCGCAGUUGACGAAGAGUGAGUGACGGUAAUAGGUAAAGAAGCAACGGCUAACUACGUG
rnacentral:rRNA from 1 species